GCUCCGGUGGCUUAGUGGUUAGAGUGUCCACCUCGGAUGUGAAAGGUCAUGUGUUUGAAUCCAUGGCAGAGUCA